GAUGAACGCUGGCGGCAUGCCUAACACAUGCAAGUCGAACGGACCUUUAUUUUUGAGAGUUCCUUUAUAGAAAUUCUCAAAAAUACUGGUUAGUGGCGGACGGGUGAGUAACACGUUGGUACCUACCCUCUAGUGGGGAAUAACUUCGAGAAAUCGAGGCUAAUACCGCAUGUGGUCUACGGAUCAAAGCAGUAAUGCGCUAGAGGAGGGGCCUGCGUCUGAUUAGCUUGUUGGUGAGGUAAAAGCUCACCAAGGCGACGAUCAGUAGCUGGAUCGAGAGGUUGACCAGCCACACUGGGACUGAGAUACGGCCCAGACUCCUACGGGAGGCAGCAGUGAGGAAUCUUCCACAAUGGACGAAAGUCUGAUGGAGCAAUGCCGCGUGCAGGAUGACGGCCUUCGGGUUGUAACUGCUUUAUAUGGAGAUAUGACGGUACCGAUAUGAAUAGACGGCGUAACUACGUGCCAGC
rnacentral:rRNA from 1 species